rnacentral:rRNA from 1 species
CCGUUAGUGGCGCACGGGUGCGUAACGCGUGGGAAUCUGCCCCUCGGUUCGGAAUAACAGUUGGAAACGACUGCUAAUACCGGAUGAUGACGUAAGUCCAAAGAUUUAUCGCCGAGGGAUGAGCCCGCGUAGGAUUAGCUAGUUGGUGUGGUAAAGGCGCACCAAGGCGACGAUCCUUAGCUGGUCUGAGAGGAUGAUCAGCCACACUGGGACUGAGACACGGCCCAG